UACGGGGGGUGCGAGCGUUGUCCGGAAUCACUGGGCGUAAAGGGCGCGUAGGUGGUUUGAUAAGGGUGUGGUGAAAGUCCGGGGCUCAACCCCGGAUCUGCCGUGCCGACUGUCAAACUCGAGGGCUGUAGAGGCAGACGGAAUUCCGGGUGUAGCGGUGGAAUGCGGUAGAGAUCCGGAGGAAGACCGGUGGCGAAGGCGGUCUGCUGGGCAGUUCUGACACUGAUGCGCGACAGCGUGGGGAGCAACAGGAUUAGAAACCCUGAG
rnacentral:rRNA from 1 species